GACGAACGCUGGCGGCGUGCCUAAUACAUGCAAGUAGAACGCUGAAGGAGGAGCUUGCUCUUCUGGAUGAGUUGCGAACGGGUGAGUAACGCGUAGGUAACCUGCCUGGUAGCGGGGGAUAACUAUUGGAAACGAUAGCUAAUACCGCAUAAGAGUAGAUGUUGCAUGACAUUUACUUAAAAGGUGCAAUUGCAUCACUACCAGAUGGACCUGCGUUGUAUUAGCUAGUUGGUGGGGUAACGGCUUACCAAGGCGACGAUACAUAGCCGACCUGAGAGGGUGAUCGGCCACACUGGGACUGAGACACGGCCCAGACUCCUACGGGAGGCAGCAGGAGGGAAGCUUCGGCAAUGGACGGAAGUCUGACCGAGCAACGCCGCGUGAGUGAAGAAGGUUUUCGGAUCGUAAAGCUCUGUUGUAAGAGAAGAACGAGUGUGAGAGUGGAAAGUUCACACUGUGACGGUAUCUGAACAGAAAGGGACGGCUAACUACGUG
rnacentral:rRNA from 1 species